CAUACAUCAAUAUUUUUUUUUACACUGCCAAAAUAUAUGGGUCAUAGAUCCUUCCAAUUCCCCACAUCUCCAGCAUGUCCCCACGUUCUCUGGAUAUAUUUGCGCCAAUUAUUGUGGUGUCAUGUACCACCGUAGCCACAUUUUAUAUGUUGCUUCUAUGUGUUGAAUAUUAUGUGUGGCAGCCUUAGUUGAUCUCAUAGCCAUAUACCAUUGAAAGG